GGCAUGGAUAAGUAUCAGCAAACAUGCAGGAUUUCAGGAUUGUCCCAGGCCUCCCACUGAGCCAAGCCAAGGAGAAGGAUUAUCCCAGCAGAACUGGUCUUAGGAGUGACAAAGACCUGAGGGAUGGCUUUGGAAAGGCUUUAGCCGACUGCCUGUCAAUGGCACAGCUUCCAGUGUGCAGAGAAAACACCCUGGUAGUGCCUUGAAGAAGAAGGUCUUGAGGAAGCAGGACAACGUGCCCGUACUGCCCAAUAUGCCCAUCAUCCAUGGGGAUGGCAGCUUCCCACAAAAUU